GCUGGGCAUGGGGGUGCAUGCCUGUAAUCCCAGAAACUCGGGAGGCUGAAGCAGGAGGAUCACAAGUUCCAGGCCAGCCUCAACAAUUUAGGAGGUCCUAAGCAGCUUAACGAGACCCUGUUUCAA
rnacentral:sRNA from 1 species